rnacentral:rRNA from 1 species
AACCUGCGGAAGGAUCAUUACCGAGCGAGAAUUCUCUGAAUUCAACCUCCCACCCGUGUUUAUUGUACCUUGUUGCUUCGGCGGGCCCGCCUCACGGCCGCCGGGGGGCAUCUGCCCCCGGGCCCGCGCCCGCCGAAGACACCUUGAACUCUGUAUGAAAAUUGCAGUCUGAGUCUAAAUAUAAAUUAUUUAAAACUUUCAACAACGGAUCUCUUGGUUCCGGCAUCGAUGAAGAACGCAGCGAAAUGCGAUACGUAAUGUGAAUUGCAGAAUUCAGUGAAUCAUCGAGUCUUUGAACGCACAUUGCGCCCCCUGGUAUUCCGGGGGGCAUGCCUGUCCGAGCGUCAUUGCUGCCCUCAAGCCCGGCUUGUGUGUUGGGUCUCGUCCCCCUUCCCGGGGGGACGGGCCCGAAAGGCAGCGGCGGCACCGCGUCCGGUCCUCGAGCGUAUGGGGCUUUGUCACCCGCUCUGUAGGCCCGGCCGGCGCUUGCCGAUCAACCA